rnacentral:rRNA from 1 species
AACGAACGCUGGCGGCAGGCUUAACACAUGCAAGUCGAACGGGUGUAGCAAUACAUCAGUGGCAGACGGGUGAGUAACACGUGGGAACCUUCCUAGGGGUACGGACCCACUCAGGGAAACUUGAGCUAAUACCGUAUACGUCCGUGAGGAGAAAGAUUUAUCGCCCUUAGACGGGCCCGCGUCGGAUUAGCUAGUUGGUGGGGUAACGGCCUACCAAGGCGACGAUCCGUAGCUGAUCUUAGAGGAUGAUCAGCCACACUGGGCCUGAGACACGGCCCAGACUCCUACGGGAGGCAGCAGUGGGGAAUCUUGGACAAUGGGCGCAAGCCUGAUCCAGCCAUGCCGCGUGAGUGAAGAAGGUCUUCGGAUUGUAAAGCUCUUUUGCCAGGGACGAUAAUGACGGUACCUGGAGAAUAAGCCCCGGCAAACUUCGUGCCAGCCGCCGCCGUAA